GAGGGCUGUGGCUCAGUGGUGGAGCUUCUGCUUUGUAAGCAGAAGGUUCUGGGUUCCAUCUCUGGCAUUUUCA